UAGCAGGGCGGCGUCUUACCAUGCAAGUCGAACGGUAAGGCCCUUCGGGGUACACGAGUGGCGAACGGGUGAGUAACACGUGGGUAAUCUGCCCUGCACUUCGGGAUAAGCCUGGGAAACUGGGUCUAAUACCGGAUAUUCAGCUCCUGCCGCAUGGUGGGGGUUGGAAAGUUUUUCGGUGCAGGAUGAGCCCGCGGCCUAUCAACUUGUUGGUGGGGUUAUGGCCUUCCAUGGCGACGACGGGUAGCCGGCCUGAGAGGGUGAUCGGCCACACUGGGACUGAGACACGGCCCAGACUCCUACGGGAGGCAGCAGUGGGGAAUAUUGCACAAUGGGCGAAAGCCUGAUGCAGCGACGCCGCGUGGGGGAUGACGGUCUUCGGAUUGUAAACCCCUUUCAGUAGGGACGAAGCGCAAGUGACGGUACCUGCAGAAGAAGCACCGGCCAACUACGUGCCAGCAGCCGCGGUAAUACGUAGGGUGCGAGCGUUGUCCGGAAUUACUGGGCGUAAAGAGCUCGUAGGCGGUUUGUCGCGUCGUCCGUGAAAACUCGGAGCUUAACUCCGAGCUUGCGGGCGAUACGGGCAGACUUGAGUACUACAGGGGAGACUGGAAUUCCUGGUGUAGCGG
rnacentral:rRNA from 1 species